GACGAACGCUGGCGGCGCGCUUAACACAUGCAGGUCGAGCGAUGAAACUUUAACAGAACCCUUCGGGGCGAAGAUAAAGUGGAUUAGCGGCGGACGGGUGAGUAACACGUGAGUAACCUGCCUUAGACAUUGGGAUAGCCCCGGGAAACCGGGAUUAAUACCAAAUAAAAUCAUAAUGACACAUGUCAUAACGAUCAAAACUCCGGUGGUCUAAGAUGGACUCGCGUCCCAUUAGCUAGUUGGUAGAGUAAAAGCCUACCAAGGCGACGAUGGGUAGCCGGCCUGAGAGGGUGAACGGCCACAUUGGAACUGAGAAACGGUCCAAACUCCUACGGGAGGCAGCAGUGGGGAAUAUUGCACAAUGGAGGGAACUCUGAUGCAGCGACGCCGCGUGAACGAAGAAGGCUUUCGAGUCGUAAAGUUCUUUUAUAUGGGAAGAUAAUGACGGUACCAUAAGAAAAAGCCCCGGCUAACUACGUG
rnacentral:rRNA from 1 species